AUUGAACGCUGGCGGAAUGCCUAACACAUGCAAGUCGAGCGGAGUAGCAAUACUCAGCGGCGGACGGGUGAGGAAUACAUAGGAACUUGCCUUUAGGUGGGGGAUAGCUUGGGGAAACUCAAGGUAAUACCGCAUGAUCUCGCAAGAGCAAAGAGGCGCAAGUCUCGCCUUUAGAGAGGCCUAUGUCUGAUUAGCUAGCUGGCGGUGUAAUAGACCACCAAGGCGACGAUCAGUAACUGGUCUGAGAGGACGAUCAGUCACACCGGAACUGAGACACGGUCCGGACUCCUACGGGAGGCAGCAGUGGGGAAUAUUGGACAAUGGGCGAAAGCCUGAUCCAGCAAUUCCGCGUGUGUGAAGAAGGCCUUCGGGUUGUAAAGCACUUUAGUGAGGGAAGAAACAGCUUGGCCACACCAAGCCUUGACGGUACCUCAAGAAUAAGCACCGGCUAACUCUGCGCCAGCCGCCGCAGUAA
rnacentral:rRNA from 1 species